GAUGAAGAACGCAGCGAAAUGCGAUACUUGGUGUGAAUUGCAGAAUCCCGUGAACCAUCGAGUCUUUGAACGCAAGUUGCGCCCGAAGCCAUUAGGCCGAGGGCACGCCUGCCUGGGCGUCACACGUCGUUGCCCCCCCAUCUACUCCUUCGGGAUUGCGGGGGGCGGAUGAUGGCCUCCCGUGCGCCUCGUCGCGCGGUUGGCAUAAAUGCCAAGUCCUCGGCGACGCACGCCACGACAAUCGGUGGUUGCGAAACCUCGGUUGCCCGUCGUGUGCGGUCGUCGCGCAUCGAGGGCUCGAAAAAAUUGCCGGGCUCCGGCUCGGCUUUCAACGCGACCCCAGGUCAGGCGGGGUUACCCGCUGAAUUUCAGCAUAUCAAUAAGCGGAGGA
rnacentral:misc_RNA from 1 species